CAGUGUCAGAGCGACAGGUUCAGUCUGCUUUGAUGUCCCUGAUGAACAGGGCAGGAAAGAUGACUGACAGUUCUCUAGCUUCACAUUGAAAUGAAGCUACAUCAGAAAGCAGUCUCAGGGUGGCCAUAGGCUAAGGCGGAGGCAGGAGCUGUGUGGACCGCAGGACAGGACCAUGGGAUCUUAAGCCCUACUGUUUUCAAAGAGCUGUUAUGUACGGAGUGCACAUUGGAAGUCAGGCGAUGUGGUUCAUUUUGAGAAAGCUCCAGGACUGGGAUCUUCUUCCCCGCACAAGGAGCACUGUCCUGGAGGGUGCUAAGCACACUCCAAUGUCCAUAAGCACUGUCUGUCCCUUCUCCGUGGUGUCCACCUCUUGAGGACUUAGGAUAUAGGCACUUUUAAAGAGUAACUAGAAUUGUAAGGACACUACUGAAAUGAUACUAGCCAUAUUUGGGAAAUUAUGUCAGCUUUCAUCUGAUUUAAAAACAAAUAGAAAUUGGAUGGCCUGGCCCGACUUUCCAUCUUCUGCCAGGAACAAGGAAGAGAAAGGUUUUGCCCGUGAGAUAGUGAACAUUUUGGCAAAGAAGAAAGCAAAUAGCAAGUAUGUGUGUGUGUGGGGGGGGGAGUGCUCAUGUACUACAGCUUUUCCAAGAAAAGCUGACACUGAAGCCAUGAUUCCAAUUGAUCUUUUCUGCCAGAAUAAAGAGAUUUCUAGGGGGGGAAAUAUUAUCCAAAUACAGCAGAGAAGCAAAGUCUGGGCUUUUCCCGUAUCUGGCUGUGCUUUGGUUGCUACAGGAAGUCUGGGAGGCACCUGAGGACCACCAACGGUCCACGUAUAUGGUGUGUUCUCAGUUUCAAAAAGAACUCUAAGACCACCUCCUGCAUUUGGCAUUUUCCAGAAGAGGAGCUAUCAAAGCUUCAGGAGAGUUUGUCAUCUCAAAGAAAUAUUCCUGAAGAUGUUGGGUGCUAAUGAAUGACUUUAAAGGCAUGUGUUUACACGGAGCAAACCACUACAAAAUAUGAUGAAUAAAUGCAAUUCAAAUCGUUA